UACUCCUACGGGAGGCAGCAGUGGGGAAUAUUGGACAAUGGACCGAGAGUCUGAUCCAGCAAUUCUGUGUGCACGAUGAAGUUUUUCGGAAUGUAAAGUGCUUUCAGUUGGGAAGAAACAAAUGACGGUACCAACAGAAGAAGUGACGGCUAAAUACGUGCCAGCAGCCGCGGUAAUACGUAUGUCACGAGCGUUAUCCGGAUUUAUUGGGCGUAAAGCGCGUCUAGGUGGUUAUGUAAGUCUGAUGUGAAAAUGCAGGGCUCAACUCUGUAUUGCGUUGGAAACUGUAUAACUAGAGUACUGGAGAGGUAAGCGGAACUACAAGUGUAGAGGUGAAAUUCGUAGAUAUUUGUAGGAAUGCCGAUGGGGAAGCCAGCUUACUGGACAGAUACUGACGCUGAAGCGCGAAAGCGUGGGUAGCAAACAGGAUUAGAUACCCUGGUAGUCCACGCCGUAAACGAUGAUUACUAGGUGUUGGGGGUCGAACCUCAGCGCCCAAGCAAACGCGAUAAGUAAUCCGCCUGGGGAGUACGUACGCAAGUAUGAAACUCAAAGGAAUUGACGG
rnacentral:rRNA from 1 species